rnacentral:tRNA from 1 species
UCCCUGGUAUCUUAGCUGGUAAAGAAUCCAUCUGCAAUGCAGGAGACCCUGGUUCGAUUCCUGGCUUGGGAA